AAAUAGAACAAGUCACUGAUCCAAAAGUAGCAGCCGGUCAUCAUUUGAGCUUCUCAAGGAGUUUCGGUGCUACACAUUUGUCAAUGCAUGACCAAUAGUCGAAAUAUUGCCCAGUGCAGUGUUUAUGCCCAGUAUCAUCCUUCUCCACUCUCUUGACGCACUUCUCAUACUCAUAGAGUGGCUUUACGCACUGGGGCUUGCAGCGCUCCUCAAGGUACUUCUUUG
rnacentral:misc_RNA from 1 species